rnacentral:rRNA from 1 species
UUAACCGUAUAGGGGAGCCGGAGGGAAACCGAGUCUUAACUGGGCGUUAAGUUGCAGGGUAUAGACCCGAAACCCGGUGAUCUAGCCAUGGGCAGGUUGAAGGUUGGGUAACACUAACUGGAGGACCGAACCGACUAAUGUUGAAAAAUUAGCGGAUGACCUGUGGCUGGGGGUGAAAGGCCAAUCAAACCGGGAGAUAGCUGGUUCUCCCCGAAAGCUAUUUAGGUAGCGCCUCGUGAAUUCAUCUCCGGGGGUAGAGCACUGUUUCGGCUAGGGGGCCAUCCCGGCUUACCAACCCGAUGCAAACUGCGAAUACCGGAGAAUGUUAUCACGGGAGACACACGGCGGGUGCUAACGUCCGUCGUGAAGAGGGAAACAACCCAGACCGCCAGCUAAGGUCCCAAAGUCAUGGUUAAGUGGGAAACGAUGUGGGAAGGCCCAGACAGCCAGGAUGUUGGCUUAGAAGCAGCCAUCAUUUAAAGAAAGCGUAAUAGCUCACUGGUCGAGUCGGCCUGCGCGGAAGAUGUAACGGGGCUAAACCAUGCACCGAAGCUGCGGCAGCGACGCUGAUGCGUUGUUGGGUAGGGGAGCGUUCUGUAAGCCUGUGAAGGUGGCCUGUGAGGGUUGCUGGAGGUAUCAGAAGUG